rnacentral:lncRNA from 1 species
ACAUCCCGCACCCGAGGUUUCCGCCCCGGCGGGGAGACUAGCGCAGCGCGCACACACAACGUCUCUUAAAGGCUCCGCGAGAGGCUUUGGAUGGAAUCGGGGAGUUUGCCUCUCGCAACUUGGCGAUGUCACGAAUUCCGCCGCUCGCGCACCACCCGGGACUCCUGGCGCAUCUUAGUACCCACAAUGCCAAAGAAAAGUUCCCUGGUUUCUUUGCAGAGGGAUAGGGAGUGAGGGUGGGAAGGUGCCACGAACUGAGCUUGUAGGCAUUUUCCAAACGAAAGAGUUGGCCAGAUCCGGGUGAUGGCAAACCCUUCUCUUAAUUAACUCUGAUCACUUGUUCGGUUUGGUGACAUAUAUAUAUGACAUAUAUUCUUUUCAGAGGAUAAAGGCCGUUCUGUUUCUGUUUAUUCCUUGUAGGGUUAACAUUUCACAGGUAUGUGGCCUGACAUUUUAAUUGCCCAAAUAAAGCAUCUCGGAUGCUGAGAAGCAGAAAUAGACUUCAUCUGAUUGUCAUGAUGCAAUUAGAAUCAAUUUUCCUCAACUUUACCCUCUCUCGCUGGUUUUAGCUAACUCUCCAGCCAACAUCCUGCCACACACCCAGUCAUGGUGAGAGGGGAAAGACCUCUGCCCACUGAUGGACAGGAGGAGGCAGCCGCCCAGCCUCCCCUGUGCACACCCUCUGUACACACAUGUAAGCGCACAUGUAUCAGAUGCACAUUUGUCAAUGUACACAGACAAAGACUUCACCGACUAUGCUUCUAGGUCAUAGAACAGUUGAGUACGGACUUCAUUGUUCCUCAAGUUCCUUUUAAGCAUUCAUAUAGUCAUUAAAACGCACCCAGAGAUUCUGCCCCAAAUGGGAAAUAAUACUAGUACAGGUCACAAGAACCAAACCCAAGCCAUAUUCUACCUCAAGAAGUCACUGCAAAAAGAACAACUUCAUAGCCUAUUGCCAUUCUGCUCCAUGUGCUAAAAUAAUUGAGACAGUUGUGUCUUUGAAUUCCAGGGUGUCUGGUUUUAAACAUCAAACAUGUAGAAUUGCUCUCAGAACACACUAUAUUCCAACGCAGUAAACUUGUUGUUUAUGACCAGUUAGUGAAUUAUCAUUAUUCCACAUUUAUACAAGAAAAUUGUGUCUCCUUUGUACACACUUUGCACCAAGAAAAAACCUCAUGCCGGUAAACCAACCAGGUUUGUGAACAAUUAAAAUAUUUUACACAAAAGACGCUGAGCUCCAGGAAAGAAAUGAACACAUAUGAAGAGUAAAUUGAUGACCACAGAAAACAUCCUUGGUAGCUGAAAAAAAAAUUGACAGGGUAAAGAUAUUUUAAAAAUAAACCAUACAUAUAAUUGACAUGCAUAGAUCACAUUUUACAUUCAAUUCUCUUUACACACAUAGGCAGAAUAUGAGGUAAGGACUAAAGAUCUGGGCAGAUAGGGGCUGGUUUUUAGGAAAGGAAAAAUCUUCUUUAAGCUUCAUUCCCGAAACCUCAGCCCUCACUCUUUCUCCGAUGAAAUCACGUAUUUCACUAAAGCUGCAGGUUCUCGGUUUAUUUGAAAGUUGUUAAAAAAAAAAAAAAAAGCCCAGCAAACCUAUAGUGGACACUGAACUAUCAUAAACCUGGUGUGUAAUAAGAUUGCCACAGAAUGAAGCCAAGCUGAGAAUUUCAGGUUAAUUAGAGACACAAUAUAACUUUCUCCUAAAGAGGAUAAGAAGGAUGGAAAAGAAAUCAUUACACAGGAGAAGGUUUUUGGUAGUUGUUGUUGUUUUCCCUUCCAACCUCUAUGAUUCAGGAAUUGCUAAUGUUACAAAUGUCAGCAGAUUCGGGACAAGCUCAGCUGAGAUGUGAUGAGACUGGGGUUGAGAUAGGAAAUCUAAUGGGCAUUCCCAUCUCAAUAGAGGAUGAAAAUAAUUGAUUAUAGGGAAAUCUUCAUCUCACCUCCUGAAUGAGACUUCCAUAGCAGAUUACCUUUUACAAACAUGGGAAGGAACAAUAUCGAGGAGGAAGAGCUUCCCCAGUCCACUUAGAGAUUUUUGGAAUUUGAAGUAUGCGUGAUGGCCUUAGAUUAAAAUGGAAUAAUUUCCCAACCAUAUCUUAACAAAUUGGAGCCUGCUAGGCAAAUGAUCACAGGGCUGCCAUAAAGUCAGGGGUGUUUCACUCUGUAUUUUAGGACUCAUUCAGUUAUGAAAUGCUGUUACAAGGGAGAAAAAAAAUCACCGUAUGAAUUAUACUUAAUUUUAAUGCAUAGAAGAAGAGACAAGACUACAGACUGAGAAGAAAAAAGGGCAAAAAUAUUUUUAAAUGUCUUCUCCAGAGAUGCUCACUUGCUGUGCGUCUAAGGUUAAAAAGCUCUGAGAAGAUAAAAUCAAUAUAUUAUUGUUGUUUUUUAAAAAUCCAACUCAGUCUUUUUUUGCAGAUGUAAAUUUAUUAUAAUGAGAAGAAUGGCAAGCUUUAAUUUGCCUAGAGAAAGUUGGGACAACAUUUGCCCUAAUCUAAAAAAGAAAAGAAAGAAACUCAACACCCAGGAAUAUAAUUUUCUUGCAGAAAGUGGCCUGAUGGGCUGUAUUUCUUUACAGAUUGAAUCACAAUAUGAAUACAGACCCCAGCAAAUGCCGAGUUUAACUCUGAACUCAGUAGAAACCAGUUCCGUCCUCCAGGAUUCAUUGAAUUCCUCCUUUCCCUCAAUCUAGUCCGUGUGUGUUUUUCUCUUCCACCACACUGGAGCUCCAUGAAUAGGGAAAGGGGCUUCCAUUGUGUCCCUCUGAACUUCCAAGUCAAUGCAAUUUUUAACCACUGGCUUGUGGUACUUUGAAAAUCACCAGGGGCUGUCAGAGUUAGGUCCUCUGAAAAAUUUACAGUGCUAAAUCAGAGCAUAUGCUGGGAGGGAAAAAAUUGCUUAAGAUUAGAGCAAGUACAGUAUCUGUCUGCCCCCUAGUGUAAGAGUCCUCGCUGCCUAAAAUUCAACUUUAAAAGAAAAGGAGCUCUUAAAGGGAAACGACUUUGGACUCACGUAGGCAUAGGAGAACGAAACUUCUGUACAUUUUAAUCUGAAUAAUUCUUCAGGAUUUAAAAUUAAUUGGCUCUGGCUUGGUUGGACCGUACUCGGAUCUCGCCACCUCUGCGUUUCCCGAGUCACUGGCGAAGAGGUCCCAGUUCCUCUGGGAAUCGUCCUGUAUGCAACAUCUUCACAAGAGUGGCAGGCAGUUGAAUCUCUGGCCUUCGUGGGACCACUGGACAUCUGGCAGAGAACCAGGAAACCACGGUUCCCUUCUGUGAGUCCCUCAGCCGGAAAACUACAAGCUCCUCAUGCAGCUGCUGUCUACAGACCCCCUGGACUGCCUGGGGAAGUGAGUCGGAGCUCCUGCAGCAGAGGGGUGGAACAGCUACACGAAGAUCCGAAGGUGGCCAAAAAUAACAGCGCUUUCCAGAUGAGGAUCCAAAUCCUGUCUUCACUGGCUUCAAGAAUCCUGUCUUCACUGGCUUCAAAACUGGGAUGAAGGAGGCUCCUUAGUGGAGAGCAAAGCAAAGAGAAACUCAAAUUGGAUCCAUAUUAAAGAAGAGAAGGAUGGAUUUGUUUAGACAACACAAACCUAGGAAGGGUUUGAGAGGUGAAACAAACUGGGUUAUGGAUGAACGGGGGCAAUUGGAAUGUAGAAUUGAAGCAGUAAUUAACAUCUUGAUGAGUGUAAGGCCAUUAUCA